GAGCGCGCUCACGGCGCGCAGUCUGCUGCGGCGUUUGGCGCAGUGGAGGGCAGCACGUCCAUGUCAGAGCCAACCGGCCCAGGCUGGAACCGCAGGGACCAGC
rnacentral:SRP_RNA from 11 species